rnacentral:rRNA from 1 species
UACGGGGGGAGCAAGCGUUGUUCGGAUUUACUGGGCGUAAAGGGCGCGUAGGCGGCCACCGCAAGUCGACUGUGAAAUCUCCGGGCUUAACCCGGAAAGGUCAGCCGAUACUGCGGGGCUAGAGUGCAGAAGGGGCAACUGGAAUUCUCGGUGUAGCGGUGAAAUGCGUAGAUAUCGAGAGGAACACCUGCGGCGAAGGCGGGUUGCUGGGCUGAUACUGACGCUGAGGCGCGAAAGCCAGGGGAGCGAACGGG